GUGGGGAAUCUUGCGCAAUGGGGGGAACCCUGACGCAGCGACGCCGCGUGCGGGACGGAGGCCUUCGGGUCGUAAACCGCUUUCAGCAGGGAAGAGUCAAGACUGUACCUGCAGAAGAAGCCCCGGCUAACUACGUGCCAGCAGCCGCGGUAAUACGUAGGGGGCGAGCGUUAUCCGGAUUCAUUGGGCGUAAAGCGCGCGUAGGCGGCCCGGCAGGCCGGGGGUCGAAGCGGGGGGCUCAACCCCCCGAAGCCCCCGGAACCUCCGCGGCUUGGGUCCGGUAGGGGAGGGUGGAACACCCGGUGUAGCGGUGGAAUGCGCAGAUAUCGGGUGGAACACCGGUGGCGAAGGCGGCCCUCUGGGCCGAGACCGACGCUGAGGCGCGAAAGCUGGGGGAGCGAACAGGAUUAGAUACCCGAGUAGUCC
rnacentral:rRNA from 1 species